rnacentral:rRNA from 1 species
UGUAGUCUGCAACCCGGCUACAUGAAGCUGGAAUCGCUAGUAAUCGCGGAUCAGAAUGCCGCGGUGAAUACGUUCCCGGGUCUUGUACACACCGCCCGUCACACCAUGGGAGCCGGAAAUGCCCGAAGUCAGUGACCCAACCGCAAGGAGGGAGCUGCCGAAGGUGGAGCUGGUAACUGGGGUGAAGUCGUAACAAGGUAUC